ACAACAACAUUCGGACCGUCGGUCUACCAAGCAAUAUCACCCGCUCGGUGGAAGAUCUUCCCUUUCGUCGUUAAGC
rnacentral:pre_miRNA from 1 species